rnacentral:rRNA from 1 species
CCCUUAGAUGUUCUGGGCCGCACACGCGCUACACUGAAGGAGGCAGCGUGUACUCCUGGAUCGAAAGAUUUGGGUAACCCGCGAAUCUCCUUCGUGCUAGGGAUUGAGGUUUGCAAUUAUCCUUCAUGAACGAGGAAUUCCCAGUAAGUGCAAGUCAUAAGCUUGCGCUGACUACGUCCCUGCCCUCUGUACACACCGCCCGUCGCUACUACCGAUUGAAUGAUUUAGUGAGGACUUCGGACUGGGACCGAUGCGGCUUUCGGGCUGCGUCGGUAUUCUGGAAAGAUGUCCAAACUGUAUCAUUUAGAGGAAGUAAAANUCGUAACA